UACGUAGGUGGCAAGCGUUGUCCGGAUUUAUUGGGUUUAAAGGGCUCGUAGGCGGCCAACUAAGUCGGACGUGAAAUCCCUCAGCUUAACUGGGGAACUGCGUCCGAUACUGGAUGGCUUGGAUUUGGGAGAGGGAUGCGGAAUUCCAGGUGUAGCGGUGAAAUGCGUAGAUAUCUGGAGGAACACCGAUGGCGAAGGCAGCCCCCUGGGUCAACACUGACGCUCAUGCACGAAAGCGUGGGGAGCAAACAGG
rnacentral:rRNA from 1 species